rnacentral:tRNA from 1 species
GACAGUUUGGCCGAGUGGUCUAAGGCGCCAGAUUUAGGCUCUGGUCCGAAAGGGCGUCCCACAGCUGUCA